rnacentral:ncRNA from 22 species
UGGUGAACCAGCGGAGGGAUCAUUA